rnacentral:tRNA from 1 species
GCCCACGUAGCUCAGGAGGUAGAGCACUUCCUUGGUAAGGAAGUGGUCACCGGUUCGAGUCCGGUCGUGGGCUCCA